UGUUAUCACGGGAGACACACGGCGGGUGCUAACGUCCGUCGUGAAGAGGGAAACAACCCAGACCGCCAGCUAAGGUCCCAAAGUCAUGGUUAAGUGGGAAACGAUGUGGGAAGGCCCAGACAGCCAGGAUGUUGGCUUAGAAGCAGCCAUCAUUUAAAGAAAGCGUAAUAGCUCACUGGUCGAGUCGGCCUGCGCGGAAGAUGUAACGGGGCUAAACCAUGCACCGAAGCUGCGGCAGCGACACUCAGGUGUUGUUGGGUAGGGGAGCGUUCUGUAAGCCUGCGAAGGUGGCCUGUGAGGGUUGCUGGAGGUAUCAGAAGUGCGAAUGCUGACAUAAGUAACGAUAAAGCGGGUGAAAAGCCCGCUCGCCGGAAGACCAAGGGUUCCUGUCCAACGUUAAUCGGGGCAGGGUGAGUCGACCCCUAAGGCGAGGCCGAAAGGCGUAGUCGAUGGGAAACGGGUUAAUAUUCCCGUACUUGGUGUUACUGCGAAGGGGGGACGGAGAAGGCUAUGUUGGCCGGGCGACGGUUGUCCCGGUUUAAGCGUGUAGGUGUGUGUUCCAGGUAAAUCCGGUUCACUUUAACACUGAGGCGUGAUGACGAGGCACUACGGUGCUGAAGCAACAAAUGCCCUGCUUCCAGGAAAAGCCUCUAAGCAUCAGGUAACAUCAAAUCGUACCCCAAACCGACACAGGUGGUCAGGUAGAGAAUACCAAGGCGCUUGAGAGAACUCGGGUGAAGGAACUAGGCAAAAUGGUGCCGUAACUUCGGGAGAAGGCACGCUGACACGUAGGUGAAGUGAUUUACUCAUGGAGCUGAAGUCAGUCGAAGAUACCAGCUGGCUGCAACUGUUUAUUAAAAACACAGCACUGUGCAAACACGAAAGUGGACGUAUACGGUGUGACGCCUGCCCGGUGCCGGAAGGUUAAUUGAUGGGGUCAGCGCAAGCGAAGCUCCUGAUCGAAGCCCCGGUAAACGGCGGCCGUAACUAUAACGGUCCUAAGGUAGCGAAAUUCCUUGUCGGGUAAGUUCCGACCUGCACGAAUGGCGUAAUGAUGGCCAGGCUGUCUCCACCCGAGACUCAGUGAAAUUGAACUCGCUGUGAAGAUGCAGUGUACCCGCGGCAAGACGGAAAGACCCCGUGAACCUUUACUAUAGCUUGACACUGAACAUUGAGCCUUGAUGUGUAGGAUAGGUGGGAGGCUUUGAAGUGUGGACGCCAGUCUGCAUGGAGCCGACCUUGAAAUACCACCCUUUAAUGUUUGAUGUUCUAACGUGGACCCGUAAUCCGGGUUGCGGACAGUGUCUGGUGGGUAGUUUGACUGGGGCGGUCUCCUCCUAAAGAGUAACGGAGGAGCACGAAGGUUGGCUAAUCCUGGUCGGACAUCAGGAGGUUAGUGCAAUGGCAUAAGCCAGCUUGACUGCGAGCGUGACGGCGCGAGCAGGUGCGAAAGCAGGUCAUAGUGAUCCGGUGGUUCUGAAUGGAAGGGCCAUCGCUCAACGGAUAAAAGGUACUCCGGGGAUAACAGGCUGAUACCGCCCAAGAGUUCAUAUCGACGGCGGUGUUUGGCACCUCGAUGUCGGCUCAUCACAUCCUGGGGCUGAAGUAGGUCCCAAGGGUAUGGCUGUUCGCCAUUUAAAGUGGUACGCGAGCUGGGUUUAGAACGUCGUGAGACAGUUCGGUCCCUAUCUGCCGUGGGCGCUGGAGAACUGAGGGGGGCUGCUCCUAGUACGAGAGGACCGGAGUGGACGCAUCACUGGUGUUCGGGUUGUCAUGCCAAUGGCACUGCCCGGUAGCUAAAUGCGGAAGAGAUAAGUGCUGAAAGCAUCUAAGCACGAAACUUGCCCCGA
rnacentral:rRNA from 1 species